UACGUAGGGUGCGAGCGUUAAUCGGAAUUACUGGGCGUAAAGCGUGCGCAGGCGGUGAUGUAAGACCGAUGUGAAAUCCCCGGGCUUAACCUGGGAACUGCAUUGGUGACUGCAUUGCUGGAGUAUGGCAGAGGGGGGGUGGAAUUCCACGUGUAGCAGUGAAAUGCGUAGAGAUGUGGAGGAACACCGAUGGCGAAGGCAGCCCCCUGGGCCAAUACUGACGCUCAUGCACGAAAGCGUGGGGAGCAAACAGG
rnacentral:rRNA from 1 species